CGGACGGGUGAGUAAUGUCUGGGAAACUGCCUGAUGGAGGGGGAUAACUACUGGAAACGGUAGCUAAUACCGCAUAACGUCGCAAGACCAAAGAGGGGGACCUUCGGCCUCUUGCCAUCGGAUGUGCCCAGAUGGGAUUAGCUAGUAGGUGGGGUAACGGCUCACCUAGGCGACGAUCCCUAGCUGGUCUGAGAGGAUGACCAGCCACACUGGAACUGAGACACGGUCCAG
rnacentral:rRNA from 1 species